AGCGGGAUGAGCUUAAUAUGAGCAGGUUGAAGAUGCAGUAACAUGCAUCGGAGGACCGAACCAGGAAACGUUGAAAUGUCUUUGGAUGACUUGUGUUAAGGGGUGAAAGGCCAACCAAAUUCCGCUAUAGCUAGUUCUCCGCGAAAACUAUUUAGGUAGUGCGUUGUGUUAAUGUUGUUGGGGGUAAAGCACUGGAUGGGCUAGGGGGAAGCGAUUCCUACCAAACCUAACCAAACUCUGAAUACCGAUACUCUAUGCACAGCAGACAGACUAUAGGUGCUAAGGUCUAUAGUCGAGAGGGAAACAGCCCAGAUCACCAGUUAAGGCCCCUAAAUAAUGGCUAAGUGGGAAAGUAUGUAGAAAGUUCAAGACAGGCAGGAGGUUGGCUUAGAAGCAGCCAUCCUUUAAAGAUAGCGUAACAGCUCACUGUUCUAAUUAAGACUUUCCGCGACGAAGAUGUACCGGGGCUCAAGCCAUUUGCCGAAACUGUGACUUUGUAAAUAUUGCGAUAUUUACAAGGGGUAGCGGAGCGUUCUGUAAGCCGUUGAAGGUGUUUUGAAAGAAAUGCUGGAGGUAUCAGAAGUGCGAAUGCUGACAUGAGUAGCGAUAAAGAGUGUGAGAGACACUCUCGCCGAAAUCCUAAGGUUUCCUGCGUAAAGCUAAUCUGCGCAGGGUUAGUCGACCCCUAAGGCGAGGCAGAAAUGCGUAGUCGAUGGGAAACAGGUUAAUAUUCCUGUACCUUCUGUGAGUUGACGGAUCACGUAAAUUGUAUUUUCUUAUUGGAUUGAAGAUGCA
rnacentral:rRNA from 1 species